GAGGGGAACUCAUCGAUGAAGCUGAAGCUGAACAUAGACGUAAACUGUACCACAAUGCAUGUUCGAUCUUCAUGUUUGACUUCAUAUGGAAGCGGAAGACAUGGUGUAUUGAUGGAGCACUUGAAGAUGGGUCAUUUGGGCGACUGGUAAACGAUGAGCACAGGGCACCAAAUUGCAGAAUGAAGUUGAUCGAAGCAGAAGGGAAGCCACAUCUCUGCCUUUUUGCACUGAAGGAAAUUACUAUAGGAACUGAAAUAACUUAUGACUAUGGUGGGAAAGAAUGGCCCUGGCGUCAGAUUCCCCCUACUGUUACAAGCACUGCUGCCCAAGAGUCUAUUAAAGACCAUUUUCAAGACCAAAGCAUGUC